UACAUGGGGUGCAAACGUUGCUCGGAAUUAUUGGGCGUAAAGCGCACGUAGGCGGUUUGUUAAGUCGGAUGUGAAAUCCCUCGGCUCAACUGAGGAAGUGCAUCCGAAACUGGCAGGCUUGAGUACUAAAGAGGGUCGCGGAAUUCCCGGUGUAGAGGUGAAAUUCGUAGAUAUUAGGAAGAACACCAGUGGCGAAGGCGGCUCACUGGCCCGGUACUGACGCUGAGGCGCGAAAGCGUGGGGAGCAAACAGG
rnacentral:rRNA from 1 species